AGGGGCGGCAGGUGGUCUAGUGGUUAUAGUGUAGGGACGGCAGGUAGCCUAGUGGUUAGAGUGUAGGGACGGCAGGUAGUCUAGUGGUUAGAGUGUAGGGACGGCAGGUAGUCUAGUGGUUAGAGUGUAGGGACGGCAGGUAGCCUAGUGGUUAGAGUGUAGGGGCGGCAGGUAGCCUAGUGGUUAGAGUGUAGGGACGGCAGGUAGCCUAGUGGUUAGAGUGUAGGGGCGGCAGGUAGCCUAGUGGUUAGAGUGUAGGGACGGCAGGUAGCCUAGUGGUUAGAGUGUAGGGGCGGCAGGUAGCCUAGUGGUUAGAGUGUAG